AACGAACGCUAGCGGCAGGCCUAACACAUGCAAGUCGAACGCUCUAGCAAUAGAGAGUGGCAGACGGGUGAGUAACGCGUGGGAAACUUCCUAGGGGUACGGAAUAGCUCAGGGAAACUUGGGGUAAUACCGUAUGAUGCCGUAAGGCCAAAGAUUUAUCGCCCUUAGAUGUGCCCGCGUCGGAUUAGCUAGUUGGUGAGGUAAUGGCUCACCAAGGCGACGAUCCGUAGCUGGUUUGAGAGAAUGACCAGCCACACUGGGACUGAGACACGGCCCAGACUCCUACGGGAGGCAGCAGUGGGGAAUCUUGGACAAUGGGCGCAAGCCUGAUCCAGCCAUGCCGCGUGAGUGAUGAAGGCCUUAGGGUUGUAAAGCUCUUUUACCCGGGAUGAUAAUGACAGUACCGGGAGAAUAAGCUCCGGCUAACUCCGUGCCAGCCGCCGCGGUAACAC
rnacentral:rRNA from 1 species